AGAUGAAAAAUGAGAAUUUUCCGCAGGCA
rnacentral:tRNA from 1 species